UACGUAGGGGGCUAGCGUUGUCCGGAAUCAUUGGGCGUAAAGCGCGCGUAGGCGGCCAGAUAAGUCCGGUGUGAAAGUCAAAGGCUCAACCUUUGAAUGCCGCUGGAAACUGUCUGGCUAGAGUCCGGAAGGGGCGAGUGGAACUCCUGGUGUAGCGGUGAAAUGCGCAGAUAUCAGGAAGAACACCAAUGGCGAAGGCAGCUCGCUAGGACGGUACUGACGCUGAUGCACGAAGGCCAAGGGAGCAAACGGG
rnacentral:rRNA from 1 species